rnacentral:rRNA from 1 species
AUUGAACGCUGGCGGCAUGCCUUACACAUGCAAGUCGAACGGUAACAGGGAGCUUGCUCCGCUGACGAGUGGCGAACGGGUGAGUAAUAUAUCGGAACGUGUCCUGUAGUGGGGGAUAGGCCGGCGAAAGCCGGAUUAAUACCGCAUACGAUCUACGGAUGAAAGCGGGGGAUCUUCGGACCUCGUGCUAUAGGGGCGGCCGAUGGCAGAUUAGCUAGUUGGUGGGGUAAAGGCCCACCAAGGCGACGAUCUGUAGCUGGUCUGAGAGGACGACCAGCCACACUUGGACUGAGACACGGCCCAGACUCCUACGGGAGGCAGCAGUGGGGAAUUUUGGACAAUGGGCGCAAGCCUGAUCCAGCAAUGCCGCGUGUGUGAAGAAGGCCUUCGGGUUGUAAAGCACUUUUGUCCGGGAAGAAAAGGGCUUGGCUAAUAUCCAGGCUUGAUGACGGUACCGGAAGAAUAAGCACCGGCUAACUACGUGCCAGCAGCCGCGGUAACAC